rnacentral:rRNA from 1 species
UAAUACGGAGGGUGCAAGCGUUGUUCGGAUUUAUUGGGCGUAAAGAGCAUGUAGGCGGUUUGUUAAGUCAGAAGUGAAAGCCCCAGGCUCAACCUGGGAAGUGCUUUUGAAACUGGCAGGCUUGAAUACUGGAGAGGGUAGUGGAAUUCCAAGUGUAGAGGUGAAAUUCGUAGAUAUUUGGAGGAACACCAGUGGCGAAGGCGGCUACCUGGACAGAUAUUGACGCUGAGAUGCGAAAGCGUGGGGAGCAAACAGGAUUAGAUACCCUGGUAGUCCACGCCCUAAACGAUGAGUACUAGGUGCUGCGGGCUUGACCUGCAGUGUCGCAGCUAACGCAUUAAGUACUCCGCCUGGGAAGUACGGCCGCAAGGCUA